UUUUUUUUUUUUUUUGAAAAACAACCUCAUUUUUGGGUUCACGAUUCGUGCAAAAUUUCAUCUAAAGCCAGAAUCGCAACUGCCGUCGCGGCAGCAGCAACUACUAUAAACAGCAGCGAAGUACUUUACUUAUCAAGUAAACCGUACAGCAAGCAACAGCAGCCAGCAGCAGCAACAAACGAACGUUCAAGGAAACAGUACUCGCACUCAGUUUAAAAGUGUAUCUAACCGAUACGAGAAAAUUUCAAUUUAUAUCAUUUUUUUCUGCCUAUUUCGCUGUUCGUAUCUUUAUACUUCUCUGUACUGCUGCUGCUGUUGGUGGUUUUUUUUUUUUUAACCAUAAUUUUGCGAUACUAAUUUUUUUUUGCAUGCGGCAUAAGUAAUAGUAUAAAACCAGUGUGUGAGAUUCAUAAAGUGUGGUGGUGUAUUUUUUCCACUUUAGAUACUCUGUAGAAAAAAUAAAAUAAUAAAAAAAAACUUAAAAAAAAAAAAAAGUGAUUUUUUUUUGUAUCCCCCCGAUUCAAAAGUGCUUAUAAGACUAAGCUCUGUCUAAAGAGUAACUUUAGUUAAGAUCGCAUUCGCUUUUAAAUGCUCGUUGUGUGCGGCGGGUUAUUUUUUACAAGAUUUUCGCAAAUUCUAAAAAAAUCUUACCACGCGAUAAAAAAAUUUACAAAAUGACAAAACUAUUAGAAAAAAAAAAUAAACUAACUUAUGUGACAAGAGUGUGGAUUUUAUAACAAAAAAUAAUUUAAUUCUAUUUUUUUGGUUUAUGUAAUAAAAAAUUAAAAAAAAAGUAAUAUACAAAAAAAUGUGCGAUUUAAAAAUAAAAAUUGACACAGUGACAGUGAAAAAAUCAUUUUUUUGUUCCUAAAAAUAUGCAACACACAUAAAAUGGGAUAAAACUUAAAUCGACCCAAGAAAAGUUAAAAACCACAAAAACAAAUUCAAAUAGGAUGUUUUUCUGGAUAAAAUAAUUUGGACUUAAAAUUAAUCAAAGAUACAAUAAGGAUAAUUUUUAAAUCCAAUCAAAAGAUACCUAAUAUCGUGAAAACGGAUUUUAAACCGUAAUUACGAGAUACAUGAUGGAUCUUCUUCAAGAUUCAAAUGAUUCUCAACAAGUUGGAUUUAUUCCAGAACAAAAAAGAAAAACAACAAGAAACUACUUCAUCUAAUAAUAAUAUGUGGAACUGACAGAGUAAGGCACAAAGAGCAAUCAUUAUUAUUUGAAAAAAAAAAAAUAAUAAUUACAAAAAAAAAAAAAAUCAAGAAAAACAAAUAAAAUAAUAGAAAAACCAUGAUCGAUUACGCAAUCAUAAACUUCAACUACUCUCGUCGGUCGUCGAAUAGAAUUAUACUCGACUCAACUCGCCUCGCGUACAUAUGCAAGCCAAUCAAGAGAUAGAUCUGCUGUGCAGUGUGGUGCAGUGAAAAAAAUUCCUCAUCGCAUCUCGAAUCUUGAAUGUUGAAUCUCACAUCCAACACACUAUACGAGUACACUCACGUCACCACUUGAAAUAUGACAUACCCUAGAAGAGAAUCUGUCAGAUAUGUCAUAAUUCAUUUGCAUUUCAAUAAUGCUCACUCUCUAUCCACCACUACAAUACGCUGCUAACGCUUGAAGCUGCUCGCUGCUGCCUGGCUUUGGUUUUGGCUUGUAUCUGUGGGUACCUAGAAGACAUAUCUUUAUCUAGGCGGCAUGUAUCUUUUUCUUAUACCGGGUGUUUAUAGUUUUAGUGUGAAAAUUGUUCAUCGUUUGAAUA